GACGUAGGGCGCGAGCGUUGUCCGGAAUUACUGGGCGUAAAGCGUGCGUAGGUGGUUUGUUAAGUCUGAUGUGAAAGCCCUGGGCUCAACCUGGGAAUUGCACUGGAUACUGGCAGGCUAGAGUGCGGUAGAGGAUGGCGGAAUUCCCGGUGUAGCAGUGAAAUGCGUAGAGAUCGGGAGGAACAUCUGUGGCGAAGGCGGCCAUCUGGACCAGCACUGACACUGAGGCACGAAAGCGUGGGGAGCAAACAGG
rnacentral:rRNA from 1 species